rnacentral:rRNA from 1 species
UACGAAGGGGGCUAGCGUUGCUCGGAUUGACUGGGCGUAAAGGGCGCGUAGGCGGUUCGUACAGUCAGACGUGAAAUUCCUGGGCUCAACCUGGGGGCUGCGUUUGAUACGUGCGGACUUGAGUGCGGAAGAGGGUCGUGGAAUUCCCAGUGUAGAGGUGAAAUUCGUAGAUAUCGAGAGGAACACCGGUGGCGAAGGCGGCCUUCUGGACAGUUACUGACGCUGAGACGCGAAAGCGUGGGGAGCAAACAGG